GAUCUGGCUCAGGACGAACGCUGGCGGCGCGCCUAACACAUGCAAGUCGAACGAGAGAUGAAGAGCUUGCUCUUCAAAUCGAGUGGCGAACGGGUGAGUAACGCGUGAGGAACCUGCCUCAAAGAGGGGGACAACAGUUGGAAACGACUGCUAAUACCGCAUAAGCCCACGGCUCGGCAUCGAGCAGAGGGAAAAGGAGCAAUCCGCUUUGAGAUGGCCUCGCGUCCGAUUAG
rnacentral:rRNA from 1 species